rnacentral:rRNA from 1 species
UACGGAGGAUCCAAGCGUUAUCCGGAAUCAUUGGGUUUAAAGGGUCCGUAGGCGGUUUGGUAAGUCAGUGGUGAAAGCCCAUCGCUCAACGGUGGAACGGCCAUUGAUACUGCCAGACUUGAAUUAUUAGGAAGUAACUAGAAUAUGUAGUGUAGCGGUGAAAUGCUUAGAGAUUACAAUGGGAAUACCAAUUGCGAAGGCAGGUUACUACUAAUGGAUUGACGCUGAUGGACGAAAGCGUGGGGUAGCGAACAGG